CGUGUGAUCGCCCAAUGGGUAGGGCACCAGACUGAGGAUCUGGGGGUUGCGGGUUCGACUCCCGCUCACACCACC
rnacentral:tRNA from 1 species